GGGUUGGGAUUUGUUGCAUUACUUGUGGGUUCCCUGAACAGUAUUGCACUUGUCCCGGCCUGU
rnacentral:pre_miRNA from 1 species